AAUUUCUCCAGCUAAUCCAGUCACAGCCCAUCCUGUCCUCCAAAGUGCUCAGUACUGUUCUUGAGACAGAGUCAUCCACAAGUUUUAUGAGUUCACUCUCUUGGCCGUAUUUCCCUCUCUGGUAGGAGAAUGUCAUGCAAGACAAUGUCACAUUCUUAAUAAACGCAAGAAAUAUCACAUCUGCUGCUUCCUCUUUAUCCACUUGGCUGGUUACUCUGACAAGGAGUGAAAUUAGAAAUGCGUUGAGAGAGCUGGUUCUUGAAUAAUCUAUGCUGGUUCUUUUUAUCAGCCUGUUAUUCCCUAGAUGACUACAAAGUGUUUUCCUCUUCCUGCCAAGGAAAGUGGCUCUGUGUGGACAGCUGAAUGACAAAAGCAGUCGGAAAAAGGAACAUGUGCCUUACCACCAGAAGAGACCGAGUUCUGGGAAGCCGUGAGUCAGAUGAGGAUGUGGUGCCAGGGUGGAUCUGCAGCUGAAGAGUUCAUGGGACCAGGAUGUGGGCCGUGCCAGUGUGCUGAGAACAGAGAUGGGAAAUGAAUCAACAUGCGACAAAGCUUGCUGGAACCAGCAAGGAUCUUCCCAUGGGUGUCAGCAAGCUUUCAUUCAGCUCCUUUCAUAGCAGAUUUUCUGAAAGAGCUGAGCUCCCCUACAGGGGCCAGAUUUGCAAAAGAGCAGAGCAGGUGGGAGGCUUCCGGGGAAAAUCUGUUGAUAAAUGCCAAGCAGAAGCAGCAGGGAUCUGAGCUUGCUGGAGGAGCUGAGGAGAUUUCCUGAAGCAUGCUUUCAGAGAUCGGUUCCCACCUACUUUCCCACCAAGCAAGCUGCCAAGAUGUAAUGGCCACUGAGAGCUGCUCUGCAGGCUUGUUUGGGAGAAUGUGUCCAGCAGAGAUUUGUCUACCCUCAGCUCUGCUAAUACACUCCAGUGCCAGAUCACUUUAUUAAUUAUUCCAGCUCUAAACCACACCAGGUCUGCAGUCACCUUCUGGCUCUACUUACUGCACCAAAGACACUCCAUGCAAGCAGAAUUUCCUCAGCACUUCCUUCAGGCUUAAGAGAAGCAUUCUGCAAGCCUGGAUGUGAUAAACUCUGGCACUACACCGCAUGGAGUUGAAGCCAGAUUCAAGCUUGGCAGGAAUCCGCUUAUCACUAUGGGGCAUGUGAACUACAGAGUCAUUAAGGUUGGAAAAGACCACUAAGAUCAUCUAAUCCAGCUGUCAACCCAUCGCCACCAUGCCCACGUGUAACUUAACUGUGCAGCCAUGGAGUCACUGCUGCUAUUCAGGCUCGAAGCCCCAGUUGAACUGGUUCCUUCCAUGGUGGAGUGCAUAUGAUUUAGAGGAGCUCACCUGCCUUUGCACAGCUCUCCCAGGAGAAGAAAUAAGAGAUUUAGCUAGCUCUGCCCUGCUUGCAGAAAUGAGGUUUGCACCACAUUUCUCUGCUGUGAGUACAAGAGCUCAUGUGCCUGCUUUGUGGAGAAAUGCACUUCUGUGCUUUGGAUGCACUAUUUUCCUUGACCUCUGGACUGGAAACCAUUUGUGUGGGUGGGAGUCCAGCCCAACUCUGUAAUUAGGAAAGCUAUUAAUAAUUAGAGAACUUGUUAUCUACCAGAGGAUGGAGAACUACACAUGCUAUCGCAAAAAUAAAUAAAUAAAUAAAUGAUCACCUCCUGUGGAAAGAGCUGUGGUUUGCACAAUGUUUUGAGAAACGUGUAGCUGAUCUGUCAUAAAUCAUGGAUUUCUUUGUUUGCUACACCAUCUUGGAUCAGUCCUGGCCAGCAAUAGGACAGAGCUGACAUUCUUCUGAAGAAAUAGUGGGAUCAUCUCCGUGUACCAGAAGGAAAACCAUACAAAUUACAGUUUAGAUUCUCUUUAUUUCCCUACUAGCUACCAGAACAUCAAGGAAACGCAACGUCUCAGACUUUUCAAACGUGAUAUCUAGGAGCACAUUUUUUUUUUUUUUUUAAGAAAAAAAGGAAAAAAUCCAGGACUGACACCAGAAACUGAAAAUUUCAGGGAGACAAAAACAACGACAAAAAAAUCCGUGAAGAGCUGUGAGGUUCAUAAUCACAAGGAGCAAUAAUCGCAAGAGAUAGCGAUAAUGGCAACGCUGCUGCCAGAGCCAGCAGGGCAGCAGAGGCUCAGCAGGCAGGGCUUGCCCUGGUGCCCUUCACCGGUCUUUUUUACUGGCUCAUUAAGUAGAACCGUUGCAAAAAGAAGAGAGUCAAAAUUGGUUUCCCCUCAGAAAGUCAGUUUAACAGAAUUAUCCACCCACAAAUAAGUGUCAAAACAAAUCUUUCCACCUUGCCCAGCUUGCUCCGAUAAUGUCAAGUCAGUGCAUCUCAGUCCUCCUGAUAAUUUGUUCCAGUGACAUAAAAUGCUGCUUCACAACUUUGUUUCAUUCCAUUUUAGCUUUAUUACAGACAAAUUAACAUUCAUUUUCGUUUUAAUGGACCUUACCAUUUGCAGCAUUAAUAUUUUGGAUUCAGUAUUUUUAAAGCCAAGUGUGCUCUGACUCUUUUGCUGUUUGCUGUUUCAGCAUUGCUGGAAGUAAAUGUCAAUCAACAUUAUUGCAAAUGGCAUGUUUGUCCAGCACUAAGAUGGGCUGAAAAUUUCAGAAAGAGAGCUUUUUAUUAAAAUCUCAGCUUUUUUUUAACUAUCUGUUCUAUUUUUGUAUAAAACCAGAGUUUGGAAUUUCCAGAACCUGCAGUGUGGUGAAAGAUCUAUUUUUUCCUACCAUUCAUUUUCAAAUGCAGACAGAUGCUAAUGACUUUACUUUCAAAGGUCUUCAAUUAAUUACCAUGUUGAUACUCAUUUAACAAGAUUUUCUGGCCCGCACCUGUUCCCCUGUACAAGACUUUGCCUUCCCACCAUCAUCCUGAUCCCCUCUCUCAGGCUCUCUGCUUGUCACUGCUACAUAAAUUACUUUCCACUUUCAGAGUGAAAGGGCAAACAGUGCUAUCAUGAUAAGAAACCCAAGAACAAGGAGUUGCUUUUGGGGCUUGCAGGGUGCUUUUAGGGCUAGGUAG
ensembl:lncRNA